UCAGGAUGAACGCUAGCGACAGCUAACACAUGCAAGUCGAGGGCAGCAUAAAAGUAGACAUACUUUGGUGGCGACCGGCGCACGGGUGAGUAACGCGUAUGCAACCUACCUAUCAGGAGGGGAAGUAACCCGGCGAAAGUCGGACUAAUACCGCAUAAAACAGGGACACCGCAUGGUGAUAUUUGUUAAAGAAAUUCGCUGAUAGAUGGGCAUGCGUUCCAUUAGGUAGUUGGUGAGGUAACGGCUCACCAAGCCGACGAUGGAUAGGGGAACUGAGAGGUUGGUCCCCCACACUGGUACUGAGACACGGACCAGACUCCUACGGGAGGCAGCAGUGAGGAAUAUUGGUCAAUGGGCGAGAGCCUGAACCAGCCAAGCCGCGUAGAAGGAAGAAGGAUCUAUGGUUCGUAAACUUCUUUUGCAGGGGAAUAAAGUGCAGGACGUGUCCUGUUUUGUAUGUACCCUGAGAAUAAGGAUCGGCUAACUCCGUGCCAGCCGCCGC
rnacentral:rRNA from 1 species